rnacentral:rRNA from 1 species
CAGCAGCCGCGGUAAUACAGAGGGUGCGAGCGUUAAUCGGAUUUACUGGGCGUAAAGCGUGCGUAGGCGGCUUUUUAAGUCGGAUGUGAAAUCCCUGAGCUUAACUUAGGAAUUGCAUUCGAUACUGGGAAGCUAGAGUAUGGGAGAGGAUGGUAGAAUUCCAGGUGUAGCGGUGAAAUGCGUAGAGAUCUGGAGGAAUACCGGUGGCGAAGGCGGCCCCCUGGACAAAGACUGACGCUCAGGUGCGAAAGCGUGGGGAGCAAACAGGAUUAGAUACCCGUGUAGUCCCUGUCUCUUAUAC